UUCGUUUCCCAUUUCCUUAGUUCCUGCCGCCCUCACGCCCCACCCAUUCUACCAUCUCCGCCGCGCCGAGCCCCUCCCGACCCCGCCCACCGCGCCGUGCCGCUCCCCCGCGCCGUGCCGCUCCCCCGCGCCGCGCCCAGUUCCCAGCAAGAUCCGCGCCCAGAUUUGACGGUUAAUUUGGGGAUCUAGGGUUCCAAUUUGGGCUCCACCACCUCCCACCGCCGUCGCGCCACCUCCCACCGCUGAAGCAACCACUGACGCCAGCCACCGACGAAUAUGUAGGUUUUUUGGCUCCGAUCUGGGUGUUCCACCGCCUCUCGGUCUCUCCUCCCCUCUUUUAGAUUUAUUUUUGUAGAUCUAAAGCUAAUAUGUAGCCACCGGCGAAUAGAUCUCGGGCGGAUCUUGGAAUACUUAAGUGGGUUUCGAUUUGUUUUGAUUUUGUUCGAUUUUUGUUUCUCUUGUCUUGAAUGUGCUGUGGAUUUAUUUUUCUUUCUCAUACACUCCAUUUCCAAACUUUGACGCUACAGAGGAUGCGAAGCCAAUAUUUGUAGUUUGUGUAUAUUUUUUAGUGUUGUUAUGAUAUUCUUCUAAUUUCUCUUUUAGUCGUGUUAUUUACGCUUGAGCAAGGGAUUUGCUAAUUGGUUUCUGCAGCAUUAGCAUCUUUUCUUCUGUUUAGUGCAUACAUGGAUGAAGUAGGUUCAUUUGCACAUGUACAAUUUCAUCAGGUAAGCAUUCUAGUUCUUGACUAAAAAAAAUUUAUCCCUGCUAUUUGUUUACCUAUGAAAUAGGGGAUGCCUGAAUCAAAGAACUCUUGUUAGGACCUGUCUACUUGGUUUGAUUACUGACUUUAUUAUAUUUUUGUUUAAUCUAUUAGUUUCAUAUCUUCUUGAACUAUUACAGGUUGAUAUCGCCAUUCCUGAAGUGUUUAUUUGUGGGCUUCUGGGCUCUAUGCUUAUAUUUCUAUUUAGUGCAGAUGGAAACAUGGAAACAUGCAGCCUGAAAAACCUAUUUGUGAGCAGAUGCUCUAGUUGUUACGCUUGAGUGUAGGAACGCUGGCGAUUAUUAGACUGUGCAGUAUCAAGUUCACCCUCUCUGUUUCUUCUUUUUCCCCUGUGUCUGUUCCAACUGUUAGUACUGGUUUCUUUUGAAUUUGUCUAAUUCUUUGUAUUACUUUUUUGUUGGUUUUUAUUUAAUUUGAAUAUUUUUUAUAUCUGUAGGAUGCUAUUUGCAAGGAGAUUCAAGACCCAAUGCCAUGUUUUAUGAAAUUAUGUUUAUUAUGUAAUUUUGGUACUUUUUUUGGGAUUUAUUUUGUGAUUUUGUAUUGUGGAUUGAAAUUUGUGGAGUGAACUACAAAAUAGGUUGUAUAUAUUAUUAAUACACGAACCGAGCUCAAACUCGAGCCUGAAUUCGAAUUCGAGCUCGAGUUCGGUUUUGAAAUCGAACUCUAAAAUCGAGCCAAGCUCGAGCUCGAGCUCGAGUUCGAACUAAACGAAUAAUUAACGAACCGAAUACGAAUCGAGCUCGAACUUAGUAUUAUUUCAUCGAGCCGAGCUCGAGCUCAUUUUAAAGCUCGAUCUCGAGCUCGAGCCGAAUUCGAGCCUGCCCAAAAAUUCGCGAACCGAGCCCGAGCCUAGAGGUAUUCGGUUCGGCUCGGUUCGUUUACAGCCCUAUUUCUGAGUGAGAACAUGUUAAAUGAGUAUUGCAAAUGAGAACCAAUCGUCCAAUCCCCUCACCUCAUCUCUAUCUUUUUUUCCAUUUUCAGUUGGAGACACUUACAGAAACAUUCUAGAACCUUUGUCGAAAUAUAUCAAUGAGACUCAAAUAUGUCCUUUUUUAUUUAUAAGAAUAUAUGUUUGAAAAGGUUUUAUGGGCUAUAAUCACACAAUCGAUUGAUAAAUAUUACUCCCUCCAUUCCAUAACAAGUGUUUUAAUUUCUUUUUUGAGUUGUACCAUAAUAAGUGUU
rnacentral:lncRNA from 1 species